rnacentral:rRNA from 2 species
UCAGCCGGCCAUAGCGUGUGGGCCCGACCUGGACUCGUCCGAUCCCAGAAGUCAAACCAUACGUCGCCCCGGUGCUACUGACUUCCGAGAGGAGUCGGGAAGCCGAGGUGCCGGCGCCU